AACUCUCUUGAUAUUAAUAUACUAAUGAAUAGUUAAAAAUCUCAAACUAUUGUCUCUUUUCUCUUGUUAGCAGUGCCGUACUUUCUCUAGACACACGUCUGUUUAGCAGUUACGCCUACUUAAACACACACACACACACACAGGCUCUCUUACACGCACUUGCCAUGUCUGACCCCCAGGUCACGCUGAAGUGACUUUGUGCCCUGUUUGUAACUGGGCCUCUUUGAAAGCGGGCCUCGCAUUCCUGCUCCGUCGGACGGGGGAUGUCCUGCUUAUUCCCAGCGAGUAGGAAGUUUCUGCCAUUAGGGAUUAUGUGCCGUUUCCUCACCCAGAAGCUUUCGGCUUGUCCCCUCCCACUCUUGAAAAAGCAGCGACUUCAGAAACUAGAAAACGGUACAAAUUAAAUACCUGCCUCUCUGUCCACCAGCCUCAGCCUUUUAGCCCCGCUCGUCUGCGCUUGUGCGAUUGCUGGGAGGAGGCAGCCGUGUUCUGUCCGCUUUUGUGUGGUUGUACAGAAGUGCUGCGGUUGGGAGGAGGAGGAGGAGGUGGAGGGGAACAGCUGCUCCCCACACAGAAGCCGGUUUCCCAGCCUGACAGGCAGCGAGAGGCAGCCAGUGCCGGGGCUGUUUUCCCGGGGGCCCUCGGGUUGGUUCGCCAGCCUCCGCAGCUAGGAGGGGAAUUUUUAUGGCGGUGACGAAAAUACAAAAUGGACCAGAGCAAGUAGGAUUCUUUCCUUCACAAGGCCAGGCGCUCGUGUUCUCCCACAAAAAUCAGGAGUAGAUAUGGAUACGUCUCCAGUGAAACUUGACCAGGUUUCUCUCAGCCGAUGGGACUCCAGUGGAACCCGCGGCUGCUCUGAGCGUCUUCCUCCAGUCAGAGCUUUUAACCCGUCGGAUGGCGGUUAGCGGUGGCCGCAGGUGCUCCCUUUACCUGCAUGAAAAACUGUGUGAGCACUCCAGCAAUCCUCAAACACACACACACACAAUACCCAGACAUCCUUUUGUUCUUCAACACACAGUGAGCUCUGGCAGAGAUAUAAACCUAUCUGUAUCCUAAAAUGAACUGUCUCUCUUUGUCUCGCUCAUAUUAAAAAAAUAAAAAUCGUUCAAUUUCUGUUUUGAAUGAGGGUCCAAAAUAAUACUGAAUUGAUCUCAUUUAAUGUAAUAUACAGAUAUAAUAUACAGAUAUAAUUAAUGGUUUUAAUUGUAUUGCAUUUAUCUCCUUUUUAGGUAUAGAAGGAAGAUGUUAUUUUCAGCUUGCAGGUAACUUGCAGGUUCACUUGAUAUAGUUAUGCACAUUCUUACUAUUUACUAGGAUAUGUCAUAAAAAAAUACCAUUAUACAAAACAUAUAAUUACUAAUUUUAAUAUAUAUAUAUAUAUAUAUAUAUAUAUAUAUAUAUGUAUAUAUAUAUAUGUAUGUAUGUAUGUAUACUGUAUAUAUAUAAUAUUUGUUUCUUGUCAAUUUAUGCAGUAAGUUUAUCUUGUUUUAAAGAUGUUUAGAUAUUUUUACUGCAAAACAAAACAAAUAUACUGAUUAAAAAUGUAUAUUUCUAUAUUCUGUGCAAUGAAGCAGUGUGUGUGUAUAAGUUUGCAGUAGAAGUUUCAGCAGGCGAGUCUGACACACAAAUACACUCCCGCAUUAAAAGAGGCGGAGAACAGAGACAGAUCCCUUGACCUUCUGUUUUCACAUACUGUCACUGUCUAGUGACACACACACUCAGAUCACAAAUGCCCAUUAGUCUUUUUAUCCCUUGCAUAUCUGUAUAUUUAAAUGCUGUAAAUGUUUAAGACUUUCUAAUAAAUUGUUUAUAUUAUUGUAUUAAUUCUUGUCUCAUUUUUGGUAUAUCUCUCUUCUCACACAUGAAAUCAUUAACCUAACACACUUUUUAGUACUCCCUCCAUAUGUGUAAGUGCAAUAUUUUCACAAAUUAAGAAAACAAUCACAAAGAAACCUGGAUGUAGUUUGCUGUUCUGUGUUCCAUGUUAAAGGUUGUAGCAGCAGCAUCACAGCAUUAGUUACAUGUGUGAAAGUGUGUGCGUAAAACCUUGCUUGCUUUGGGAAGUGUGUGUGCGACCCUGUGUGCUUGCAGACGUGAGUAUGUGUGUGUGUGUGUGUGUGUCUUUACCCAUAGAGCGGCCAGCCAGGCUGCAGAUAUCAUCCAUCUCCUUGUCACAAAGCGCCAGGGUUGCUGGGUAGGCAGCAGACAGCCGCUCGGCGCUGAGGAUGGGAGCUGAAUCCUAAUUCCGCCACUGCUCUCCCCCGCCUCCCACGACGGAAAAUCGUUAACCUCAGGAUUGGAGAACAAAGCAGAGAGCUUUAGCCAGCUAGCUGCUGUUAACGCAAAACGCCCCAACCACAUAUUAAACAAGUCUCCGAGAGACAUGCUGAAAUCAUGUAUGUUCAGAUUUAAAGCCUUCAGACCUGCUGUGGUUUUUGAAGAGUAUAGCUCUUCUUCAAAACCCAGUGAGCUGCCUACAUAGUCAGCUGUCUUUUAAGACAACAGUGGAAUCUCAUAAGUGACUGAUUUGAAACAUAAGGUAUGUUCAAGUCAAGUUCAUAUUUAUGAAUUGGGAAGUCAUCAGGUUUCGACAUCAGGUCAUUUGUUCAGAGCCAAAAAAAGAACCAACAAAAAAAACUUUUAAACUCUACUUUUACAAAAUGGUGAAUAAAGAAUGUGCAUGUUUUUGCUG
ensembl:lncRNA